rnacentral:rRNA from 1 species
GGGCCCGCACAAGCGGUGGAGCAUGUGGUUUAAUUCGAUGAUACGCGAGGAACCUUACCAGGGCUUAAAUGUAGUUUGACCGGUCUGGAAACAGACUUUCUCUUCGGAGCAGAUUACAAGGUGCUGCAUGGUUGUCGUCAGCUCGUGCCGUGAGGUGUUAGGUUAAGUCCUGCAACGAGCGCAACCCCUAUUCUUAGUUGCCAGCGGUUCGGCCGGGGACUCUAAGAAGACUGCCAGCGCAAGCUGAGAGGAAGGUGGGGAUGACGUCAAAUCAUCACGGCCCUUACGUCCUGGGCUACACACGUGCUACAAUGGUAGAGACAGAGGGCAGCCACCUGGUGACAGGGAGCGAA